rnacentral:rRNA from 1 species
CCUACGGGUGGCUGCAGUGGGGAAUAUUGCACAAUGGGCGGAAGCCUGAUGCAGCGACGCCGCGUGAGGGAUGACGGCCUUCGGGUUGUAAACCUCUUUCAGCAGGGACGAAGCGUAAGUGACGGUACCUGCAGAAGAAGCGCCGGCCAACUACGUGCCAGCAGCCGCGGUAAGACGUAGGGCGCGAGCGUUGUCCGGAUUUAUUGGGCGUAAAGAGCUCGUAGGCGGCUUGUCGCGUCGACCGUGAAAACUUGGGGCUCAACCCCAAGCCUGCG